CCUACGGGUGGCAGCAGUGAGGAAUAUUGGUCAAUGGCCGCAAGUCUGAACCAGCCAAGCCGCGUGCAGGAAGACGGCUCUAUGCGUUGUAAACUGCUUUUGUCCGAGGGCAAAAUCAGACUCGCGAACCUGACUGAAGGUACUGUACGAAUAAGGAUCGGCUAACUCCGUGCCAGCAGCCGCGGUAAUACGGAGGAUUCAAGCGUUAUCCGGAUUUAUUGGGUUUAAAGGGUGCGUAGGCGGUCGGAUAAGUUAGGGGUUAAAUCCCGGGGCUCAACUUCGGGAGUGCCUCUGAUACUGUGCGGCUAGAGAGUAGGAGCGGUAGGCGGAAUGUGCGGUGUAGCGGUGAAAUGCUUAGAGAU
rnacentral:rRNA from 1 species